UCCUGUCUGAACAUGGGGGGACCACCCUCCAAGCCUAAAUACUCGUACAUGACCGAUAGCGAACUAGUACCGUGAGGGAAAGGUGAAAAGCACCCCGAUGAGGGGAGUGAAACAGUACCUGAAACGGAUUGCCUACAAGCAGUAGGAGCCUCUUUAUGGGGUGACUGCGUACCUCUUGCAUAAUGGGUCUGUGACUUAAUGUUUCAAGCAAGCUUAAGCCGAUAGGUGUAGGCGCAGCGAAAGCGAGUCUGAAUAGGGCGACAUAGUUUGAAGUAUUAGACCCGAAACCCGGCGAUCUAUGCAUGACCAGGAUGAAGGUGCGGUAACACGCACUGGAGGUCCGAACCGAUUAACGUUGAAAAGUUACCGGAUGAGUUGUGCUUAGGGGUGAAAGGCCAAUCAAGCCGGGAAAUAGCUGGUUCUCCGCGAAAACUAUUGAGGUAGUGCCUCGAGCGGACACCAUAGGGGGUAGAGCACUGGAUGGUUGCGGGGGUCGCGAGAUCUACCAAUACUAACCAAACUCCGAAUACCUAUGAGUGAUACUCGGGAGACAGACGGCGGGUGCUAAGGUCCGUCGUCAAAAGGGAAACAGCCCUGACCUACAGCUAAGGUCCCCAAGUCGUGUCUAAGUGGGAAAGCAUGUGGAAAUCCCAAAACAACCAGGAGGUUGGCUUAGAAGCAGCCAUCCUUUAAAGAAAGCGUAACAGCUCACUGGUCUAAACAAGGGUUUCUGCGGCGAAGAUGUAACGGGGCUCAAGACACGCACCGAAGCUUAGGGUGUGCGCUUAUGCGUACGCGGUAGCGGAGCGUUCCGUAAGCCUGCGAAGCGAUCUGGUAAUGGGUCGUGGAGGUAUCGGAAGUGCGAAUGCAGACAUGAGUAGCGAUAAAGAGGGUGAGAUGCCCUCUCGCCGAAAGACCAAGGGUUCCUGCGCAAGGCUAAUCCGCGCAGGGUGAGCCGGCCCCUAAGACGAGCCCGAAGGGGGUAGUCGAUGGGAACCACGUUA
rnacentral:rRNA from 1 species